UCGGCGCCUGGGGGUGACCCUGGGCAGCAGGAGGGGGGUUCCAUUAUCCCCCACCAUCCCUGGUCCCUAGGCUGUCCUUUGUCCCACGGGUGAACGCAAGCUGCAGCUGAGCCGUCGCUUUUGCUUAGGUGCACCAGGGAGGCAUUGCCUGUCCCUGACACCUCGGGGGCAGGACCAGCCCCACCUCGCUGGCAAGCAGCCCCACACUUGACACUUCUUGCACGGUGACUCACGGCUUUAUGGCAGCGGAGAGCAGCUCCACGCCUGCCUGCCUGCCUGGGAACAGCCGCACAGCCGAGAACGCAGGCGGGCUGACGUGGGCGGUUGUGCAAGAGAUUCCUGAGCGUGUGACGCCGCCUUCGUGGCUGCCGGGAACUGCCUUCCUCAAGGCUGCCUGCUGUCCCCACAGCUCGAGACAGUGCAUUAGGAGCUGGUUUCUCACUGUACUUCAAGGCUCUCCUUAGCUCUCACUGCUGUUCAGUCCUGCCUGCUUGGCCCAGCCACCACCCUGCAAAACAACCUCCCUGCCUCACCCAGCACAGCGCUGUCCGUUGUCCCCACACCGGUGGCACCGCGGUGUCCACAGGGUAAAGAAACGGCCCGAGCCUGCCACGGCUGGGAGAUGUUUGCUUUUCCUUCACCCAGCUUUCUCCACAGCCAAGUAACUUCCGAAACUCACCUCCCCUCAGGCUGCCGGCCUCUCUGCCAGCACCACACUGGAUCAGAUGCUUGGAAGACAGGCCUGUAGCACGCACAAAGCAGUACACCCAUGGGGUUCCUGCUCCCCCUGCCAAGCAGCAGCUCCAGCCCAACACCCAUACUGGGGACUCCAUGGUGCAGCUCCUGGCCAGCUGUCAGCACACAGACCUCGCUCCUGGCUGCUGUGGUCCCUGCUCAGGGACCCCCAUCCUCCCUCCCUGCUCACCCUUGGGGCUUGUGGAUUUCCCCUCCCAUACAGAGGUCACUCGAACAGCCCCAUCUGCACCCAGAACACCCCCAAGCUCCAAGAGAAAAAGCAACCGCUGCACUCUUUGUUCUUGAAUAUGUAUUUUUUACUGAAAAAAUCAUUCAUAAAUUAACAAAUACAAAAAUGUACAAACACAUGGGUAAAUAAAUGUAAUGACACAAAG